CCUACGGGAGGCAGCAGUGAGGAAUAUUGGUCAAUGGGCGCGAGCCUGAACCAGCCAAGUAGCGUGAAGGAUGACUGCCCUACGGGUUGUAAACUUCUUUUAUAAAGGAAUAAAGUGAGGCACGUGUGCCUUUUUGUAUGUACUUUAUGAAUAAGGAUCGGCGAACUCCGUGCCAGCAGCCGCGGUAAUACGGAGGAUCCGAGCGUUAUCCGGAUUUGUUGGGUUUAAAGGGAGCGUAGAUGGGUUGUUAAGUCAGUUGUGAAAGUUUGCGGCUCAACCGUAAAAUUGCAAUUGAUACUGGCAGUCUAGAGUACAGUUGAGGUAGGUGGAAUUCGUGGUGUAGCGGUGAAAUGCUUAGAGAUCACGAAGAAUUCUGAUUGCGAAGGCAGCUUACUAAACUGAGACUGACAUUGAUGCUCGAAAGUGUGGGUAUCAAACAGGAUUAGAUACCCUUGUAGUC
rnacentral:rRNA from 1 species